rnacentral:rRNA from 1 species
CCUACGGGAGGCAGCAGUAGGGAAUCUUCCGCAAUGGACGAAAGUCUGACGGAGCAACGCCGCGUGCAGGAUGAAGGCCUUCGGGUUGUAAACUGCUUUUGUACGGAACGAAACGGCCUUUUUUAAUAAAGAGGGCUAAUGACGGUACCGUAAGAAUAAGCACCGGCUAACUACGUGCCAGCAGCCGCGGUAAUACGUAGGGUGCAAGCGUUAAUCGGAAUUACUGGGCGUAAAGCGUGCGCAGGCGGUUAUGUAAGACAGUUGUGAAAUCCCCGGGCUCAACCUGGGAACUGCAUCUGUGACUGCAUAGCUAGAGUACGGUAGAGGGGGAUGGAAUUCCGCGUGUAGCAGUGAAAUGCGUAGAUAUGCGGAGGAACACCGAUGGCGAAGGCAAUCCCCUGGACCUGUACUGACGCUCAUGCACGAAAGCGUGGGGAGCAAACAGGAUUAGAUACCCGAGUAGUC